ACAAUUGGGAAAAAAGUGAAAUACCUAGAACAGCGCUUCCGCCUCCCUUUUGUUCCGCCUCUUUUCGAAGAACAGCACUUCAUCUCCUCCAACUUUGUAUCUCGGCUUUGCAUCUCCUCCGGCUUCAUCAACUUCGAAGAACAGCGCUUCAUUGUCUCCCCCUGCAUCUCUUUCGACUUCAUCAACCUCUCCAGCGCUAUCCAAGAACUCGGGAUGGACAUAAGAUCACAGAGUCAGGAUCAAGAAGAAAUAUUUCGAGGUCUAGAAAGUGAGGGACAGAAAAGAGCAAGGAUGGAUUAUAUGAUAUAGACUGAAGCAGAGACUAAUGAAUUGCUUAGACUGUUAGUAGAGGAAGUUAAGAAUGGAAAUAAAUAAGCAAAUGGCAGUUUUAAAAAGCAUGUGAUUAUGAGGAAUGUGAUACCCCCCGUGGUUGAAAAAUUUGGAAAUGAUUUUAGGUAUAAUCAUGUAAUGAACAAGAUAAAGUAAUGGAAGAGAAAGAUUGCACCUGUUGAGAUCCUGAUAAUGUGCCAUUAUUUGGUUUUGUACCAUCCACUCUGAAUAAUGGUAAACGAAGGCGUAGGUCAAUUGGUACUGCAGCCACAUCAUCUGCAUCUUCCCAGUUAUCGUUGCAAGAGGUAGGAGAGGGAGUUGUCACUGUAGGUAAAGCUUUUUAUGAGUUAGUUGAUAAGUUGAGGAAGAUAAGAAAAGGUCGCAAUAAAGAAUGGGUUGAUGCUAUUAUGUUUACUUCUGAAUUGACUAAGCCACAAAAAUGGAAUAUCCUCAGUGACAAUAUCUCACAGGACAUGAAGGAUACCUUUAUUGACAUGGAUGCAAAAGACCGCUAUGAGUUUCUACAUUUUAGGUUGACCGGUGAGAUAAUGAAUGAUGGUAAUGAUGAGACUCAAGCCAAUUCUGAUCCAAAUGGUGAACAUUAUGAUUCUGAUUUCUUUAGAGAUGUUUAGAGGCAGUAAUUUAGAAGUUUAUGAUCUUUCUAUGUUUUUAAAGAUUUGUUAUGGUGUUAGGAUUAUGUGGAAUUUCAUAUUGUCAAACUAUUUUUCAUUGAAUAGGUGGAACUUGGGAUAAUGUCAUGUUUUUUUUUUGAG